AUGGAUCCCUUACCCCUGACACUGACUGGACAUUCUCCAUGGAACGAGGCCGACACUCCUCAAACCCGCGACCUAAAGCACUUACGAGCCAAACGUGUGGCUUACUAUGAAUGCAUUGGGAUCAUCAAGAGCGAUGCUUCCAGAAAUGGCAGCCAAGCUGUGUCAAAAGCUUCCCAAGACAACAAAGUGAAUCCCUCAGAAAGCCAAACCUUCGGGGUGAGACCUCAGAGGUCACCGCGUUACUCGGCAGUUGGAAAGAAACCUCUGCGCGAGGAAAGGUCCAAAGUGGCUCCUGGAGAAGCAGAGCAGUGUCAGGACCACAGGGCCCAGGAGGGGCCCAAGGGAAACAGCUGCCCAACAGAACUGGAUCUCCAUCUGUUGGCCGAUGCUUUGGUCCCUGAGACACAGAAGCUGCGACAUGUUAUAAAUUGGGCCCAGAAGUUCUUGUCCAACCCUCCAGAAGAGCGUGGGUUGAAGAGGUCCACAACUUCUCUAGGACUCCCUCUGUCUAACCUUUAUCAAAGUUCAGAAGCUCUAGGAAGUAAGCGAAGUGCCCAUCUGAGGUCAUCUGAUUCUCUACCCCUGAACAGAGAAGACCAGUCCAGCACACAGACAGACAUUCCCAGCUGCCCUUCAAGGCCCCAAAAGAGCUGGUCAGAAACAAGCUUGUCUUCAGAAUUUCCAGGUUCCUUCCUGAAGGAGGGUUUUCUGGGCAGUCACUCUUGUGGGUGGCAAGAAACUACAUUUAGGAACGAAGGGGAGGGAAGAACCACUACGAGCUCUCCUGAUAGUCUUCAGAUGGAAGAUUCUGCUCAAGAAAAGUAUGAGAGAGCAGGAGAUAUUCAGACCCCCAAUGAGGACGAGAUGUUUCCCGAGGGGCUGGGGGCUCAGCUACAGUUGAGACACACUUCUGAAGAAAGUAAGGUUUUAGAGGAAACCAGACAGAACCCACCCAGAAAUGGUUACUUCUGGACUCCACUGACAGACAGCUCAGAGGAGGAGCGUUUGGAUGAACCUGGGGAGAGCAGAGGCACACCCGGAAGGAGUGUGCUAGGGAGGAGGUGCAGAGGGUUUUCAGGAAUUGCCUUGUCUCCCACAAGUGACAGCACACUAGUGUCAAAGACCAUGGUGCUGAGUGCGGCUUCCUUCCCUCAGGAAACACCCCUGGAGGCUGAAGUCAGGGAGGAGCGCAGAGGAGCAGCACAGUUCCCUGUGGGGACCCCCAAGGAUGUCACAGUGGAAUUCAGGGCUGACAGUUCCAGAGGUGAAGACCCCAUCCAGAGACUGCUUGAGGGUCAACGUAUGCCCCGCUAUGACAGCUCCAGUGAAAGGAGAAAGGAAUCAGACCAUGUGGGGUUCACUUUGGGGCCCCCUCAGACUUAUAUUAAGCAUAAAAAUGAGUGGAAACACAUCAUCACAGAGAGAGCGGGGAAGACUAUCACGGGGAGAGUACAAAGAGGCGGUCCGAACAGGAGUGUGCAGAGUUCUGCUGAAAGCAGUGCUCCUGUGACAACUCAGAGGCAGUUUGCUCUAACUCAGCCUGAAAGUUAUUUGGCCCCUCAGAUUGCCAGCCUCUUGCUGAAUGUCUCAGAGGGCCCCUUGCAGAAUGCUGCGUUUCAUGGACGCACAGGUGCCGGUGUCUUCUGUGGACCCACUGCAGAUGCACAUGGUGCACGUGGCAGCACUUGGUUUGACGAAGUGCCACCAUCUGAGAUGAAUGACAGAUCAGUACAGACACCUCGAAUGAUCACCAGGCAGACAACUCAUGAGCAAAAGGAAAAGACACUGCCUUCAAGUUGCCCCAUUUCUGGAGAGAUUUCCAAAACUGGUUUGAAGGGAUCCUUCCCACUCCAGGAUGUUGGCCUCUCCUGGAGUGAUGAGCCGCCCCAUGAACAGGAGCCAGGGGCCAGUGUACUGGAGACAUAUUAUUAUUAUUUGCAUAUGUUCAACAAAAUCAAGAGUCUCUCUUCAGAAGAGAGGAGCUCCUCUUUGCCUUCCCAGGAGCCUAGACUGUCCAAAUCAGAGUCAGUAAUCACAUCUCCACGAGGGAAGGGCAAGUCCAAAGGGGCCAGCCUGGACAGGGAGACCAAGGAAUGGAGAGAUGGGAGUGAGAGCGAUGCGGCUGUGGAAGGGAAGUUAUGCUCUGCUUCCCCCAAAAUGACAUCCAGAAUGACCAGCAGUGAGGGAUACUGGGAAAUGUCCAGCCCUGCAUGUUCAUCUCGCAAACACGGAGAUGUGAAGCCAAGAUCUCAAACCAUUUUGAGACCAAGCUCAGCUGAAGCAGAAGAGAGAACCUCCGCUGGGACUUAUUCCAGUGCUUAUGCUGUUGGUAGGUGGCCAAGUCGUUAAUAUGCCAAACGGUCAAAUCUGUCAGAGGGAUGGAAAUGAAGAGCGAGAACAGUUGUGUGUGCCAGACCCAAUUAAAAUUUAAAAACCAGGAGGAGCUGAUAAGCAAGGGUGAAGAACGAGAACCUAGAUCCAUGACUCUAAAACUGCUAGUUUGUUAGCAUCAUUUUCAGGGAAGUCCUCAUUAAAUCUGUAGUCUUGAGAAGAGUUUUUAAAACUUUCCUCCAAAACCUGCUUGUUAGAGAAUCAUCACUGAAUGCCCCCAGCAUCACUUUUUAUACUCUGCUCUCACUUCUCUUCGUCUUUCCGCCACUGGAAGAGGGAGGAAGUGUCAGGCUCGAUCUCAGCAGCUCCGUGUGAAGAUGGACCACUGUGUCCAUCAAAACUGCAGCGGAGACCUCUCUCCAGGUCGGUCUCUAUGUGGUUCCUGUGGGCUGCGUUUACACUUGCAAGGAGGAGAUGCUUCAUGAAGACAUAAGCAACUCCUGGCACCAGUGACUCGUCUGCCCCUCGGGACAGCACAGCCUGCCAGGAUGGAGUGGCAGCAUCUUGUUCAGAGUUUGAGUGACAGCCAGCACAGAAGACCAGCUCAGCCUUCCUGUUUAGGGAACCAUCCAUUCUUAUUAAAGGGGCAGCACUAGAGAAUUUUCAUCAUUCUAAGGUUGGGUAAAGAUUUAAUUGAUCUUACGGGGUGGGUUUGCAUGUCUAUAGUUAGCUUCUUGCCUUCUGAGUUACAAUAAAGACUGAUUUGCACAUAUCA
rnacentral:lncRNA from 1 species